UACGUAGGGGGCUAGCGUUGUCCGGAUUUAUUGGGCGUAAAGAGCGUGUAGGCGGCCAGAUAGGUCUGCUGUGAAAACUCGAGGCUCAACCUCGAGAUGUCGGCGGAAACCAUUUGGCUAGAGUCCGGAAGAGGAAAGUGGAAUUCCUGGUGUAGCGGUGAAAUGCGCAGAUAUCAGGAGGAACACCUGUAGCGAAGGCGGCACUCUGGGCCGAUACUGACACUGAGGAGCGAAAGCGUGGGGAGCGAACAGG
rnacentral:rRNA from 1 species